rnacentral:rRNA from 1 species
CCUACGGGAGGCAGCAGUGAGGAAUAUUGGUCCAUGGGCGAGCGCCUGAACCCGCCAAGUCGCGUGAGGGAGUACUGCCCUAUGGGUUGUAAACCUCUUUUGUCGGGGCGCAAAAGCCGGACGUGUUCGGCUGUGAGAGUUCCCGCAGAAAAAGCAUAGGCUAACUCCGUGCCCGCAGCCGCGGUAAUACGGAGGAUGCGAGCGUUAUACGGAUUUUUUGGGUUUAAAGGGUUCGCAGGCGGAUUUUUAAGUCAGCGGUCAACUCGUGGGGCUCAACCCCAUCCAGCCGUUGAAACUGGUGAUCUAGAGUGUGCGAGAGGUAUGCGGAAUGCGUGGUGUAGCGGGGAAAUGCAUAGAUAUCACGCAGAACCCCGAUUGCGAAGGCAGCAUACCGGUGCACAACUGACGCUCAGGCACGAAAGCGUGGGUAUCGAACAGGAUUAGAUACCCGGGUAGUC